rnacentral:rRNA from 1 species
CGUGUAGGCGGUCAGGUAAGUGGAAUGUGAAAUGCCCCGGCUCACCCGGGGACCUGCAUCCCAAACUGCCUGACUUGAGUAUGGGAGAGGAUGGAGGAAUUCCUGGUGUAGCGGUGAAAUGCGUAGAUAUCAGGAGGAACACCGGUGGCGAAGGCGUCCAUCUGGCCCAAUACUGACGCUGAGGCGCGAAAGCUAGGGGAGCGAACGGGAUUAGAUACCCCGGUAGUCCUAGCCGUAAACGGUGAUCACUAGGUGUUGGGGGCAUCGACCCCUCCAGUGCCGCAGCUAACGCAUUAAGUGAUCCGCCUGGGGAGUACGGCCGCAAGGUUGAA